AGCGCUUCAGUUAGUACUUGGGCGAAACUACGUUGACAGGCCAGAAGCAAGAAGCCGAGAUGAUGAAGUGUGAUGCGGCCGAUCUUUCGCGACGUCGCUGCAGUAGGGUUACGAGUU
rfam:Oryza sativa Indica Group scaffold001194 genomic scaffold, whole genome shotgun sequence.